CUUACYAACACAGGCACAGAUUCUUGCCUAGUUAAAACUGGUAGCACAUGUGACGACAUACGCUGGACAACUGGUAAUCGACUGCUGGUCCCCAGCGUGAAUAAAUGCCUGGGAGUUCAGGGRAAAAGUGUAAAAAUCUGUAUUGCAACCUAGCUACAAAGUGAAACUUCAUACAGUUUGUUAGUGAACUUUACUUUAYUACAUUGUCAUUUUAUAGACGUUUUAUUUUAUCUGCAGAAUAUACUGAUGACCUUUGGAUAGGACUAAAUGAUAGACAGAGAGAAGGCUCGUUUGACUGGAGUGACCUCACCACAGUUACCUUCAUCCGGUGGGAGUUUUCACCAGAAGCUGCAAAUAAUCAUGACUGUGUUCUUAUGAGAGGAUAUGUAAUGUUUAUAUUAUAUUUAUAUUGUUUUAUGUGUUCUAUUAUAAAAUCUAUACAGAAGAAGAUAAUUAACUGGGGUACUUAGAGAAGUGCUAUGUACAUGUUUCUAUGUACGCUUACUUAUAGUACAAGUAAGUCCACUUACAUGUAAGUUGUAUUUACUUGUACAAAGUAAGUUGUACUUACUUGUACUUAUAAGUAAGUAGAAAUGUACCUGUGUACAAACCAAGAACACUAUCAAACACUUAAUUAGUACAAGAAAAAAUAUUCCCGUAAACAAUUAUUACAUUUUUCUCAAAUAAUACAAGAACAAUUAAGAUGAAUAUCUUGACUGCUGCAAUGACAACUUCUGUGGAUUAAAUAUAUGUUUCAGGAUGAAUCAUUUUUUUCAUUUUUAUUUUUUGUAGGGUGKAUAUUGGAUUGUUACUGAUUGUGACGUUGAACAUGGCUUCAUUUGAAUGAAGAGAAGUACUUCUGAACCCUCAGGAGAUGAAGUAGAGCUCAAUCAGGGCUGCAAGCGUGUGAGUUAAGUUCUCUUGAUUUUAUAAAGUUUUUGACACACAAUUCAAAAAUAUGUUACUUUUCUCAUGUCAUGCAACCUGCUUAAAAGCAGCAUAUUUAUAGAAACAGGCAAGAAAAUAUUCCUAAUUCAGAGCAAGAAAAAAGAAAGUCAGGCAAGGCGGACAUUUUUAUUCUCRCUUAAGAAUUUAAUAAAAGUGUAAUUUCCAUUAAGAGGAAAUCCAACUUCCAAAUAUAGAAUCGUUUUACAAUACUUACAUGGCAGUAAAAAUGAAGGGGGGAAAWCAUGUACUGACAUGACCAUGCAACUUUUAUUUYCUAUGAAAGGGUUGGAAAAGACACGGCUCCUACUGCUACUAUAUUGGGAUGGAGUCUAAGACAUAUGAUGAAGCAAAAGAUUACUGCAAGAGAACCAAUUCCUACUUGGCUGAUGUUUCAGACAGGUAAAAGAAUUCAUUAUGAUUAAAAAACAUUUUGAACAGAGCAUCUAGAUAAGUUGUCUCAAACUCCAGUCUUCAGUGGCCRAUGUCCUGCAACACUUAGAUGUCUCACUCCUGUAUUUGCUCAUUAGCAGAGCUUUAUAGAGCCUGACUGUGCGCUAGUGAGGCGGUGUUGUCAUUUAAUUCAAGUGUGUAGGACAAGGGACAUGUCUAAAGGUCGCAGGACACUGACCCUCAAGGACUGAAAUUUGAGAGUACUACUACUAAUCUAAGUGUUCUCUACAAUAUGAGGGGUGUUCUGGUCUUCAUCAGAUCAUAAAAUGAUGUGACUGCAAUCUCAAAUUAAUGGGUGAUUGUUUAUUUAAAAACACAGAAGUGUAUAAUGGUAGUUGUUUCCUUACAACUACCAUUAAAAUCAGGUACAUUUCAGCAUUUUGUAAGUACAUGUAUAGUAACUAAUCAUCAAAAAUUAUGACAAAAUCUGGAAAAGAAAAAAAAAGAUAUUUUUUGCUGGCUUGAUACAUAAAAAUGCAUUUCUUCCAUGUAACGCACAUUGAAACAUGUUGAAAGAAAGAGAUAGCUAACUGCAUUUUAUUUUUAUUUUAUUUUUUACAAUAUGACAAUUUGGUUAUCUUGGUUAAAAUUGUUCCUAAAAGAUGCAUUGGAAGCUAUUAAUCAAUGUGGUGCACUAAAAUUUGUACACAUUGCUUGUGUGUCUUGUCAUAGACAUUAAAUUUAUUCAGUAUUUAAAUAUUUAAGUGUGCCAUAAAUUUUAGGAAGUGAAAAACGUCACAUAACUUUUUUACUACGCAAAUACCAAUAAUAAUAAUAAUAAUAAUAAUAAUAAUAAUAAUAAUAAUAAUAAUAAUAAACAAAAUCACACAUUUUUUAAAGUUGGUCAUACUUUUCAGUCCUUUUGACUAAAAUGAAAUCACAAAAUACUUUAAUUUCUACAAACUGGACAUUUUUUCAGGGUGGAUAAUGCCUUCCUAGUCAGCUUGGUGGGUCUGAGGCCAGAGAAGCAUUUCUGGUUAGGGCUUUCAAACCAGAAGCACCCGGGAAUUUUUGAGUGGACCAGCAUGGCCCUGUGAGAUAUGCUCACUGGAACAGUGAAAUGCCAGGUACCAGAACAUUUAUGUUUGUAUAAUGUGUUURAAAGUAACUUUUAAAAUGACAGUUUUUAAUUCCUUUGCCAACAAGGCCACAACCAGGGUUGUGUYGCGAUGACCACUGGUACUUCUGCCGGAGUGUGGGACRUUUUGCCGUGUACAAACAGAGAGAAGUACAUCUGCAAAUAUCAAACAGAAGUGCCAACUCAGACGCCUGCACCAACAACUGCUCCGUCUGAGGGCUGUYCAUUUGAAUGGAACCAAGUCAUAUCAAAACCCAUCUGCUUCCAGGUAAAAAGUAUCUAUUUCUUGGAUGUAGUGCACUCAUAUUAUGUUAUAAUAUAAAGCAUUUAUAUUAUGAUGCUUUAAUAUAAAUGGAAUUCACAUGAUGUGCCCCUUUCUAGUGAUUACAAGACAAAUAUUAACAUUACAAGGAAAUAGAAAAGCAAUAUCSUAAAAUGGGCACAAUGAGACUUUACCCAUAGUUCAAGCACAUAAAUUUGUGUGCAAAUAUUCAACAGACAAGCAGUGACCAGCAUGAGAUGCUUAAAUGACCCAUAUAAAAAUAAACACUAUUUUAUAUUAAGGAAGACUUAAAACUAUCUAUAAAAAACGGGCAUAACCUCUACUUUAUAAGACAGGUGUAGGGUCUUCUACAAGCUUAAUUUGGUUCCAACAAAGCCACAGUGGGAAUUAAUAACUAAUGAUAUUAUAGUGAUUAGCUGAAUGUCUUGAAUAUGUCAAAUAGCGUGAUUAUGACAAUUCAUUACCGGCUUAUAAUGCAAGUUGAUUUUCUUGUCUUGAAGAUAUUUUCGAGACCUUCAAAAAAGAGGACAUGGUUUGAGGCCAGAGAUUACUGCACAGCGAUUGGAGGAGACCUUCUAAGCAUCCAUAAUGCCGCUGAGCUGCACCUGCUGAAGCAAUUGUACAAUAAACCUUCAUCUAUAACAUAAGCCACCAUCAGCUAUCAAUAAUCCUCUUGACUAAGUUUUCUGUUGGUUUCAGUCAACAUGACGUACAGUUUCUGUGCAGUAGCAUUUGAACAGCUUGUAGGGAUAACAGUCUGCUAAAACACUGAAACUAAAUGAUAAUAAAAUAAAGAAAAGACAAUAGAAUAUCUGUAUAAUAAAUGCUACACGUUCACAUCAGGUACUAAUCAUGACUGUGUCUUUUUACAGCUAUGGAAGCGUUUGGAUUGGACUGAGUGCUCCUGACUCAAGCAAUGGUUUUAUGUGGAGUGAUGGAUCCCCAGUGCRUUCGCAGUUGUCUAUCUUUAAGUUAUUACUGCAACGCUGAAGGAAAUGAACUAAUCGCUAGAAGUUGUGCUGCUUUUGUUAACAGGUGAACUUUCAACACUGGAGAAAUGGGGAGCCAAAUAAUAGAAACAAUGUAGAAACUUGUGUUGAAAUGUCUACAAAUAAUUGGGGCAACGAUGGGUCUUGGACUGAURUUGGUUGUGAAAAGUACAAUUGCUGGGCUUGUCAGAUCCGUACAGGAUUCACACCACCGUCACCUCCACCUGAUAUUACUCCAUGUGAGUGGAUCAUUAUUUAAAAUAUUUGUUUUGAAAAAGAUGUGUAAUGUAAUGUUCUGAUAAUCAUUUUUCACAGCUAAUAUUAAUUMACAUUCACAUUUUCCCUGAUAAAAACAAAAUGUUCCAUGUCACAUAAACUGAAGAUCUGUGUGAAUMAAUUUUGAUCAUGAUUUAAAACUUUGCUGAUAUUUUUUCUCACUCAAUAUAGCUCAAAUUUUAUUAAUUUUUCAAUGGAAAUUGCAAUUUUUUAAAAUUAUUUGUCCUUUGACCUCCUUGUGUACAUAUUUGAACAUGUAUUGGACUGUCGAUUACAUAUUAAGCUAUGUGCCUUGUAUUGCAUCUACAUGAAUUUGGUGAACUUUGCAUACACUGACUUUUUAUUAUUGUUCUUGGUAAAAUAGAUUAGACAGAGAGCAUCUAUGAAUGCUAAUUYUAAAAAUGUUGCAACAGAUAUAGUUUAGAACUAGACUUAUAAACCCAACGAAAUGCUCUCACGCUUGUGGUUGUGACAUGACAAAAUAUGAAAGAAAUCCAAAUGAUAUGAAUACUUUUGGAAGUUCCUGUAUGUGGAAAUCUCACAUUGUUUCAAUUUUGCAUUUCUGUACAGACUACAACGUUACGUCUGAUGGGUGGCUUCAAUGGAAGGGGAAUCAAUAUUAUAUCAACAAUGAGGAAGCAGUGAUGGACGAUGCAAGACAGUUCUGCAAAGACAGACAUGGUGACCUGGUAACCUUUGAGAGUCAAGAAGAAAAUGUAUUUUUGUGGAAACAGAUAUACAAAGAAAACACACAUUUCUGGAUUGGUUUGACCGUGGAUUUUGACAGAAGUGUUCAGUGAGUACACAUUGAUAACAUAUUUGUGAAAAACAUUAGUUCCAAAAUUAAAGAUUUUUAAUUUCAUAACAAAAAUACACCUAAUUUAAAACACUAGUAUUAAUCUAAUCAUUGCAAAAACACAUGAGUGAGGUUUGAAAAAUAAYUGACUUAUUUGCCUUUSCUGCAAUAAGAUGGCUAGAUGGUCUCAUUCCAAUGGUGGGAAGAUCAUCAGCCUGAUUUCWGAAAUUUUGAUGAGAACUGUGUUGCCAUGACGUCUCAUAAAGGUGAGUAAUGCGAUUCACUUACAAAACAAAACAUGUAUUUUCACAUGCGCCAGUUUUACAUUUUCAUUCCUUGCUGGUUUGGGUAAAAGUACAACAGUAACAACCAGGGUAGUUUGAUAAUUUAACUAACACAGCAAGCUGCCACAAAGGAUGAAAUUUAGCAGAAGAACGU